UACAGAGGUCUCAAGCGUUGUUCGGAUUCAUUGGGCGUAAAGGGUGCGUAGGCGGCGAGGUAAGUCGGAUGUGAAAUCCCGGGGCUCAACCCUGGAACUGCAUUCGAUACUACCUUGCUCGAGGACUCGAGAGGAGAUUGGAAUUCACGGUGUAGCAGUGAAAUGCGUAGAUAUCGUGAGGAAGACCAGUGGCGAAGGCGGAUCUCUGGAGAGUUCCUGACGCUGAGGCACGAAGGCCAGGGGAGCAAACGGG
rnacentral:rRNA from 1 species